rnacentral:rRNA from 1 species
CACGCUGUAAACUAUGAUUACUCGUUGUUUGUGAUAGACUGUAAGCGACUGCGCGAAAGCAUUAAGUAAUCCACCUGGGGAGUACGUUGGCAACAAUGAAACUCAAAGGAAUUGACGGGGGCCCGCACAAGCGGAGGAACAUGUGGUUUAAUUCGAUGAUACGCGAGGAACCUUACCUGGGCUUAAAUGGGGAGUGACAGUUUUGGAAACAGAAUUUUCUUCGGACACUUUCCAAGGUGC